ensembl:lncRNA
AAUUACUGGGAGGGGGCAAAUAACAAUGUCUUGGUGUGUCUGCCAAAGCAAUGAUUUUUAAAAAUCACUUUCUCAGAACCACCAAAUAGGAAAGAGAGAAGCCAUGGAAGUCAUCUCAUCUCUCUCUUCAUCCUUUGCAAGUGUUUAGCAGAGUAUGUGCCAAGGGUACAGAUCCCAAAUCUUGAUAGACACUCCAGAUAUCAAGCAUUGACAAAAUUCUGUAACAGGUCGUAUUUACAACGUGAAGUGUCACCACAAUUAAAUGACGUGUAAAGCUAUAUCUGAUAUGUUAUUAAAUAAGAAGCAGG